rnacentral:rRNA from 1 species
UACGGAGGGUGCAAGCAUUAAUCGGAUUUAUUGGGCGUAAAGGGCGCGUAGGCGGGAAAUUAAGUCACAUGUGAAAUCCCGGGGCUCACCCCCGGAACGGCAUUUGAAACUGAUUUUCUUGAGGGUAGGCGGAGGAAAUGGAAUUCCACGUGUAGCGGUGAAAUGCGUAGAUAUUCGGAAGAACACCAGUGGCGAAGGCGACUUACUGGACACAUAUUGACGCUGAGGUGCGAAAGCGUGGGGAGCAAACAGG